rnacentral:rRNA from 1 species
AGCGAACGCUGGCGGCAGGCCUAACACAUGCAAGUCGAACGAAGUCUUCGGACUUAGUGGCGGACGGGUGAGUAACACGUGGGAACGUGCCUUUAGGUUCGGAAUAACUCAGGGAAACUUGUGCUAAUACCGAAUGUGCCCUUCGGGGGAAAGAUUUAUCGCCUUUAGAGCGGCCCGCGUCUGAUCAGCUAGUUGGUGAGGUAAAGGCUCACCAAGGCGACGAUCAGUAGCUGGUCCGAGAGGAUGAUCAGCCACAUUGGGACUGAGACACGGCCCAAACUCCUACGGGAGGCAGCAGUGGGGAAUCUUGCGCAAUGGGCGAAAGCCUGACGCAGCCAUGCCGCGUGAAUGAUGAAGGUCUUAGGAUUGUAAAAUUCUUUCACCGGGGACGAUAAUGACGGUACCCGGAGAAGAAGCCCCGGCUAACUUCGUGCCAGCAGCCGCGGUAAUAC